UACAGAGGUCCCAAGCGUUGUUCGGAUUCACUGGGCGUAAAGGGUGCGCAGGCGGCCGUGUGUGUGAGGCGUGAAAGCCCGGGGCUUAACCCCGGAAUUGCACCUCAAACUACAUGGCUAGAGCAUUGGAGAGGGUAGCGGAAUUCACGGUGUAGCAGUGAAAUGCGUAGAUAUCGUGAGGAACACCAGAGGCGAAGGCGGCUACCUGGACAAUUGCUGACGCUCAGGCACGAAAGCGUGGGGAGCAAAAGGG
rnacentral:rRNA from 1 species